ACUAAGGUGUCUGACUAAUAGGUAGUAAACUGUAAAUUUACUUAAGAAUUUAAUUAAUUCCCUUGGUA
rnacentral:tRNA from 1 species